ACCUUACCUCUUGCCGCGUUGUCUCGGCGGGAGGCGGUGGGCGUCGCGCGCCCUAGCGGGCCGUGCCGCUCCCGUCCCCGCCGGCGGCGCCAAACUCUAAAUUUACAGCGGACUGUACGUUCUGAUUUACAAAAAAAACAAGUUAAAACUUUCAACAACGGAUCUCUUGGUUCUGGCAUCGAUGAAGAACGCAGCGAAAUGCGAUAAGUAAUGUGAAUUGCAGAAUUCAGUGAACCAUCGAAUCUUUGAACGCACAUUGCGCCCGGCAGUAAUCUGCCGGGCAUGCCUGUCCGAGCGUCAUUUCUACCCUCGAGCGAGUCCAGCAUCUAGGUGCUGGGCCUCGCCCGGCGUUGGAGCACUACGGGAAGCCCUGUGCUGUCCCCCGUAGGCCCCGAAAUGAAGUGGCGGUCCUGCCGCGGCGCCCCCUGCGUAGUAUAACAGCUCGCUUCGGGACCCGGUGGAGGCCUGCCGUCAAACCUAUAACUCU
rnacentral:rRNA from 1 species